UUGAGUGUUGUGUUGACAGUUGAAACCAGUGAGGGUGAACAGCCCUGAUUCCGUGUUGUGGCCAACCGGCAAGGUGCACAGAAGGCCAAAGCCUUCUACUUCAGUGCAGACCCCUCAGAUCCACAAAAGGCCUCCAAUCAUUGUGAGCUAUGGGCAGGACCAAACAUCUGGGGAUGGAUGGAGCGUCAAUCCAGAGCCUCUCAGCCAGGUCAGACAUCUCUGCUGUUCCCAUAGAGACACAACAGAUAGAUCAAUCUGUUGAUUCAUAUGGCCAUUUUGGUUGGGUUGGUUGAAUUGACAAUCAUCCAUUUGAGAUGCUAAAGAAUCCUAUACUAUGGAAGGUCUUUAGCCCCACCCCUAAUGUUAUGGGAGUUGCAUUUAUUGCAUUUUCAGUUACCCAUGUAUUGCUCAGUACUUGUUCAACCAUGUUGGAUUGCCUACGUAUUCUACAUUUCCUUGAGGGUUAAUGCCAGUGUAUUCUAUGGCUGCCAUGAGUA